GGGAAAUUGGGCAACCAUAUUUUUAUUGGAACGAUACAGAGAAGAAUAGCAUGGCCCCUGCGCAUCCACUAAUCUUUGUAGUGACAGUAUUAU